AGCGAACGCUGGCGGCAGGCUUAACACAUGCAAGUCGAACGGGCACUUCGGUGCUAGUGGCAGACGGGUGAGUAACACGUGGGAACGUACCUUUCGGUUCGGAAUAAUUCAGGGAAACUUGGACUAAUACCGGAUACGCCCUUUUGGGGAAAGAUUUAUCGCCGAUAGAUCGGCCCGCGUCUGAUUAGCUAGUUGGUGAGGUAAAGGCUCACCAAGGCGACGAUCAGUAGCUGGUCUGAGAGGAUGAUCAGCCACAUUGGGACUGAGACACGGCCCAAACUCCUACGGGGGGCAGCAGUGGGGAAUAUUGGACAAUGGGCGCAAGCCUGAUCCAGCCAUGCCGCGUGAGUGAUGAAGGCCUUAGGGUUGUAAAGCUCUUUUGUCCGGGAAGAUAAUGACUGUACCGGAAGAAUAAGCCCCGGCUAACUUCGUGCCAGCCGCCGCCGUAACAC
rnacentral:rRNA from 1 species